rnacentral:lncRNA from 1 species
UGACACUGAGGUAACUUUCUGGAUUCCAUAAGGUACCGAGAUCCCACUCAGUGUAAUCUUCAGAUGGGCCAGGUCCCUAAGGGAUGGCCUGGAACCCUGCACCCUGGGCAACCAGUCUUUAAAACCAGCCGUUCUUUGUAUUAAUAUUUUGCAAUUAGAUGAAAACAGUUGUGCCACAAGAUCUAGCCCUAACCUAACAGGGUUACAAGUGCAGUGGAAAACUCAGUAAUAAAAACCAGGCAGGAGGUUCCCCUUGUGGCUCAGCGGGUUAUGAACCCCACUAGUAUCCAUGACGAUGCAGGUUGGAUCCCUGGCCUCGAUCAGUGGGUUAAGGACCCGGUGUUGCUGUGAGCUGAGGUGUAGGUCACAGAUGCGGCUCAGAUCCGUGCUGCAGCUGUAGCUGUGGCUGUGACAUAGGCUCUCAUUUGAAGCUCUGAUUCAACCCCUAGCCUGGGAACUUCCACGGUCCGCAGGUGCAGCCCUAAAAAAAAAAGAGAGAGAGAGAAGAAAUCAGCCUUCAAAGAACCAAAGGCCCCAAGAGGGCAGGAACUGGGUGGAAGCAGCUACCUCUUCCUUCGUGCUCAGCUGGCACUGUUGCUGGGAGGGUUCUGGAGCCGCUGUCGGGGGAGGACUGUUCUGUGGCCGGUACCCGUGGGAGGUGCUGGGCUGAGCGCCUUGGCCGGCUUUCCCUAACCCGCCCGGGCAGGGCUGCCACGGUUCUGAGCAGCACGAGGGAGGACAGGCUCUGUGGGAUGCAGCAGGAGAGACUCGGAGAGAAGGUGGGACAGAGCUCUCUGGGCUCCAUGGUGAUGAGGCUGUGUUACGGACUGGAAUGGGCUCCACAUACGGAACUCAGCAUUCCGCAUCAUGUGAAAAAGCUGGGCUCGCUCCAAAUUGGACAACUCGGCUAAUGAUCAUCAACCCACAUAAUCUGAAUGUAGGAAUGAACAGGAAGGGUUGAAUGCAAGAUCCCGUAGGUGGAAAUCUCUCGGGGGAUGGGCAUCUCUUUCUAAAGCUCCAGAGCAGGGCUUGGUCCUUAAGAGGCCACAGUGCAUACCUGUGGAAGUAAGUUGAGUUUGGGAUUGCUUUUGGAGUCAGAAGGAGGCAGAGAUCAGCCCUAUAGUCAGUCGGAAUCCCUGUCCUAUGAGGAAAUGUGGGAGGGAAGAGGGUUAAAACAGUGAGGCAGCUUCACACAGCCUGCAUCCUAGAAACAUCUCGCUGGGUCCCGUAGCAGGAACAUGGGCAAAGGCGAGGACAGAGUGUUUGCAGCUUGUUUAUCACAGCAGAACCUCCCUGGGCUGGCUCUCCUCCGAACCACCAAAAUGUAGACGCAAAGGAGCAAAGACGACUAGGUCUCCAGAGACACAGAGUGAUGAGCUCGGAACUCUACCGCCUCUUGUAGCCAUAACAGCUUAGAAAACCUGGGGGGAAGAAAGCCAAGCCUCUUUGACGGUUGUUUAUUGACUUGGGAGAGAGUCUGGCUCAUGGAAGCAGCUGUGCGGGAGGAACAUGCCAGAAGCGACGUGCAUUUCCCAGGGCACAUGGCAGGUGCCUGACGCCCAACCUCAGCUCAGCCUGGUGCCAUGCUUCUGGCAGAAACGGGGACUUCGUGGCUCCCACUCGGCCCCCAGUCCCCAGGAAGGUUUCCAAGCUGGGGCCAUAGGGGUAAGGGAGGGGCGGGGAGCAGGGUAAGGGUUUGGGGGAGUGAUUUUUUUUUUUUGGCAUAAUGAACCUGGGCCCAGCGCCCCCAAGACACUGCUGAUCCCAUUGCGCCACAGUGGGAACUCCAGGGGGAGAGUGAUUUUAAUGCCAAUCACUUACAGUUCGUGAACAACUUUUGAGAGGUUGGUCCCCAGGGAAGGUGGGUGGGGUGGAAGGUAGGACUGAGCUGAGUAAUGGAAGGUAAUGUGUUUGGUUUUGAUGGUUAGUAAGUCAAGGUGAUUCCAGUUCCAGGGUAAUAAGGUCUGGCUCCAUUUUCUUUUCUUUCUUUCUUUUCUAUUUUUUUGGUCUUUUUAGAGCCGCACCUGCAGCAUAUGAAGGUUCCCAGGCUAGGGGUCGAAUUGGGGCUGUUGCCACUGGCCUACACCACAGCCACAGCAACACCAGAUCCGAGCCGCGUCUGCGACCUACACCACAGAGCACGGCAACUCAGGAUCCUUAACCCACUGAGCAAGGCCAGGGAUCGAAUCUGCGUCCUCAUGGAUACCAGUCAGAUUCGUUUCCACUGAGCCAUGACGAGAACUCCAGCUGGAUCCAUUUUUGCUGCUGGAUUGCUGACAGCUUUCAAGCCUCAUCAUGCUCCCUUUCUCUUCUUCCCACACCUGGGCAAACUGAAAAGAAAGUCUGCACGCCCCCUCCCUUAAUACCAGAGGGAAGUGCCGGCCUCAUAAAACCUGGUCUGUGUGCGGGAGCUCCCCCCAGUCCCGUCUGUUAGCCACGGUAAAGGCUGAAGCCGUCGCUCCAUGCUCUCUGAAGCCAUGGCUGGACCCGCUCGGGAGCCUGCCCUGCUUUCCCCUGAAGAGACUCAUCCCGUGAGUAAGAGACCCCUUAUGCCCUCUUGGGAGGAGGCCUCAUCAACCUCGGUAUCCAAACCAGGAGUUCCCUGGUGGCUCAGCGGUUUAAAGGCUCUGGUGUUGUCACUGCUGCAGCUCAGGUACUGCCAUGGUGUGGGUUUGAUCUCUGGCCUGGGCACUUUCACAUAAUGCAAGUGAAGCAAAACCAUAAGAACAAUAAACAUCUAAGUCAAAUUUUGGGUGGGGGGGUUGUGUCGGUCUGGCUUCCACCACUCCCAGGACACCAAAACAUAUGAUAACAGAUAAGCCGUGAAUACAAUAGAAGGUUAUUUCUGGUUCAUGUCCGCCUCCAGUGCGGGGGCUCCUGGACAGACAGCCUUGCCUGAGCUCAUUCGGAGACCCAGGCCCUUUCCUUCUCUUCAUGGUCUUUAGAAUUCUCUCCAUUCAGUCAACAGACAGGAAAAGAGCAGGGAGGUUCACCUGAGAGGUUUGGAGAGGGCUCGGGCUUAGAACUGGUACCGUCACAUCCCAGCUUGCCUUUGCUUGGAACUCAAUCGUACAGCCACACCCUCCACAGGGAAGGUUAGGAAAGGUGGGCCAGGUGGGUUUCGGCGAAUGGGUGUCCGUCUCCACCACAGAUAGGCUGACUUUGAAUAGCGACUGGUCUGUGAGGUGGGAUAUUCAAAAGGCAGUGGGAUAGAGAGGUGUGCGGAGAAAGUUGCUGGGCUACACCUGUGCAUGUAGAAGUCUAAUUUCUAGGCAAUAAAAGGGAAAAGGGAAAGAAAAUGAAAAAAGGAUAAUUCUCGUCAUAAUUUCUUCCUUUUUUUUUUUUUUUGGUUUGAUUUUCCCCUUUGAGGAUUGCCUUCUAGAACCUCCCUAGCAGUCGUGGGGUGUUGACAGGGGGAGAAAUGGAGCAGGAAGAUGCACAUGCACACACGCGUGCACACACACACACGCGCACACACACACUUUUUUUUUUUUUUUAAUGAUCUGGCUCCAUCCGUCUUCUGCCCUUCUAAGCCUCCAAUGAGAAGAAAAAGCAAGUAGCAGGCUGAUGGGAGAGGAGAGCGAAGGAAUGGCCGCCUUAGCAAAGGAGAGAGGAAACCGGCCUGCUGUUCUGAGGCUGUGAUUGUCUUCCCAUAAGUCAUCCUGGUCUCCUUGCCCCUUAAUUUCAUUUUAAAUGAAGCUGAAAGGUAAUCUGAUAGGUUUCCUUAUCUCUGCAAAUAAUUCAUAAGUUCAGAUGAACCCAGAACCAUGACAUAGCAGGUAGGAGGGUUUCAAGGUCUGACGAGAAGGUGGUAAUUACCAGGACUGCCCUGGAGCUGACAGCUGGCAUGGGAAGGAUCUCCUUUUUAUUGACAUUCUCUGUGUGAUUAGGAAAAAAGACAGCUAAAUCAAGUUAAUCUGCAGCAGUUGGCGGACCCGGACUGCUCCCGUGCCGACCACCUGAGCUGCCUGUGGAUGUGCGUGGAGAUGGCAGAGGCUUUGUGCCUGAUUUAGUUUCACAGGCAGAAGACUCUUCACCUCAGCCAGUGACAGGAGCUGUUCAGAUAUGCAGAGCCGAACGGCAUGUUCAGUUCCAGAAUCCCGGAGAAACCCGAGGAAGGGAUCAGAAUACAUUUAUCAGCCCAAACCGCCUCCUUUGUAGUAGCCCCUCCCCCGCUCAGGCCACAUUAGCUGGUUACAUCCAUUCUACCUGCAGUGUCCCCUGCCUCCCCCGCUGGAUGGCAGAAAGUGAGGACAGAACAUCAAUGUUUGUCUGGUGGACCAGAGGGAAAGGUCAUGUCUUUUCUCAGCAGCAAAGCAGGGCUUCAUUGUAAGUGCACUUAAGCUGAUGGAAUAUCUUCUACGACAUGAAAUAAACACAGGUGAGCUUAUGAAAGACAUUCAUAAGUUUCAGGACAACCCCAGCAGUAAAUGGAUACAGUGUGUAUAUUCGAAGUGCUUGCAAGUUAUUUUAGCUGUUUAUUCAUUUGCGUAUCACUCAUUUAUUCCGUGAGAGUUUAUAAAGUAUCUGCCAUGUACAGUGCAUGAUAAAGAAAGAUGAAUAAGAUGAAGCUACUGCUCUCAGCCCUCUGGGAUUUUGCACCUUCUGUUUCUCUACCUCUGUCUUCAUUCAUGCAUCUGUCCAUCCAGCGUCUGUGCCUCUAUCCGUCUGUGCGUCCAGCAAUCCAAGAUAUCUAUUGGGUCCUUAGCGGUUCUCAAAGAUUCAGCUAUGCCUCAAACUCUCAGUAUUACACCUCUUUGGGAUUCUUUUUUUUUUUUUUUUCUUUUUUAAUGGCUGCACCCAUGGCAUGUGUAAGUUCCUGGACCAGGAAUUGAAUCUGAGCUGCAGCUGCAACCUAUGCUGCAGCUCAAUGCUGGAUCCCUUAACCCACAGUGCGAGGCCGGGGAUCAAACCCACACCUCCACAGUGGCCCAAGCCAUUGCAAUUGAGUUCUUAACCCACUGCCCCACAGCAGGAACCCUGUCUUUGGAAUUCUAAAAGCCCUUUCCAUACUUUCUUUGUAUACCUGAUGUCCACUCCUCCUCCUCGUCCCUGCUUCUGUGCUUUUGGACUGCCUGGACAGUCCUUACUCUAAUACUUUAGCAUGAAGUACUCACUGCCCCAUCACUGGCUUCUAUCUCUCCAGUUCACGUCUCAAUUAUUUGUGAGUUUAGUCAUUUUCCAUUAGAUGGGGGAGAAGCAAAGGGGAGAGUCAGAGCAUGGAUCCUUUGACCUUCACUCCUGUCCUCUCUCUUACUCUCACUGUAAUUGUGUUUCUUUUAAAGGUUGAAAAGUAUAUGAGGCAUUCCCAUCAUGGCUCAGUGGUUAACGAAUCUGACUAGGAACGAUGAGGUUGCGGGUUCAAUCCCUGGCCUUGCUCAGUGGGUUAAGGAUCCGGCGUUGCCUUGAGCUAUGAUGUAGGUCGCAGAUGCAGCUCGGAUCCCACGUUGCUGUGGCUCUGGCGUAGGCCAGUGGCUACAGCUCCGAUUAGACUGCUAGCCUGGAACCUCCAUACACCAUGGGAGCGGCCCUAGGAAAGACAAAAAAAAAAAGAAGUACAUGAGACUUCCAGUCUUCCCUGCCCCCUCCCCCCCUUACAAUCUCCUACUGAAUAAAUCAUUCCCUGCAGGCUCAACUUUUACCUCAAGUCAGUUGGUCAAAAAACAGUUUUAUGGAGUUCCUGCUGUAGCUCAACAGGUUAAAAACCCAGCUAGUAUCCAUGAGGAUGCGUGAUUGAUCCCUAGCUUCAUUCAGUGGGUUGAGGAUCCAGCAUUGCCAUGACCUGCAGUGUAGAUUGCAAACACAACUUGGAUCCUCAUGGCUGUGGCUGUGGUGUAGGCCAGCAGCUGCAGCUCUGAUGGAGCCCUAGUCUGGGAACUUCCAUAUGCCA